CGCAGGUUAGAGAAGUGGUUAUCUCAACUGGCUCAUAACCAGUAGACCGUGGGUUCAAAUCCCACACCUGCAA
rnacentral:tRNA from 1 species